rnacentral:rRNA from 1 species
AGUAACGCGUGGGUAACCUGCCCUGUACACACGGAUAACAUACCGAAAGGUAUGCUAAUACGAGAUAAUAUGCUUUUAUUCGCAUGGUAGAAGUAUCAAAGCUCCGGCGGUACAGGAUGGACCCGCGUCUGGUUAGCUAGUUGGUGAGGUAACGGCUCACCAAGGCGACGAUCAGUAGCCGACCUGAGAGGGUGAUCGGCCACAUUGGAACUGAGACACGGUCCAA